UUUAGCCUAGUGGACAUGGCACCUGCCCGGUAAGCAGAAGGUUGUGGGUUCGAUUCCCGCCCCUGGACAC